GCCUACAGCCAUGUUACCCCGAACAAGCCUGAUCCAGUCUGAUCUCGGAAGCUAAGCAGGGUUGGGCCAGGUUAGUACUUGGAUGGGAGACCACCUAGGAAGACCAGGUGCUAUAGGCG
rnacentral:rRNA from 1 species